rnacentral:rRNA from 1 species
AUUGAACGCUGGCGGCAUGCUUUACACAUGCAAGUCGAACGGUAACAGGUUAAGCUGACGAGUGGCGAACGGGUGAGUAAUGCAUCGGAACGUGCCCGGUCGUGGGGGAUAACGCAGCGAAAGCUGCGCUAAUACCGCAUACGAUCCGAGGAUGAAAGCGGGGGACCGUAAGGCCUCGCGCGAUCGGAGCGGCCGAUGUCAGAUUAGGUAGUUGGGGGGGUAAAGGCGCACCAAGCCAACGAUCGGUAGCUGGUCUGCGAGGACGACCAGCCAGACUGGGAAUGAGACACGGCCCAGAGUCCUACGGGAGGCAGCAGUGGGGAAUUUUGGACAAUGGGCGCAAGCCUGAUCCAGCCAUUCCGCGGGCAGGACGAAGGCCUGCGGGUUGUAAACUGCUUUUGUACGGAACGAAAAGCCUUGGGCUAAUACCCCGAGGUCAUGACGGUACCGUAAGAAUAAGCCACGGCUAACUACGUGCCAGCAGCCGCCGUAA